rnacentral:rRNA from 1 species
AGCGAACGCUGGCGGCGUGCUUAACACAUGCAAGUCGAACGGUGAAGCCCAGCUUACUGGGUGGCGACCGGCAAACGGGUGCGGAACACGUACGCAACUUACCCUAAACAGAUGAAUAGCCCUCGGAAACGGGGAUUAAUACAUCGUAAAAUAUAGGAGUGGCAUCAUUUUUAUAGAAUAGCUGAGGCGGUUUAGGAUGGGCGUGCGUCCCAUUAGCUAGUUGGUAAGGUAACGGCUUACCAAGGCGACGAUGGGUAACUGGUGUGAGAGCACGACCAGUCAAACGGGCACUGAGACACGGGCCCGAGUCCUACGGGAGGCAGCAGUGAGGAAUCUGGGUCAAUGGACGCAAGACUGAACCAGCCAUGCCGCGUGCAGGAAGACGGUCCUAUGAAUUGUAAACUGCUUUUAUACAGGAAGAAACCCUCCCACGUGUGGGAGAUUGACGGUACUGUAGGAAUAAGGAUCGGCUAACUCCGUGCCAGCAGCCGCCGUAAGAC